rnacentral:lncRNA from 1 species
UCAUCAUCUUCAUCAUCAUCAUCACAUCAUCUUCAUCAUCACAUCAUCAUCACAUCAUCAUCAUCUUCAUCACCUUCAUCAUCAUCUUCAUCAUCACAUCAUCAUCAUCAUCGUCAUCAUCAUCAUCACAUCUUCAUCACCUUCAUCAUCAUCUUCAUCAUCACAUCACAUCAUCAUCACCAUCAUCUUCAUCACAUCAUCUUCAUCACCUUCAUCAUCAUCUUCAUCAUCACAUCAUCAUCAUCACCAUCACCAUCAUCUUCAUCACAUCAUCUUCAUCAUCAUCUUCAUCACCUUCAUCACAUCAUCAUCACCAUACUUUUCAUCACCAUCAUCUUCAUCAUCACAUCAUCACCAUCAUCAUCAUCAUCAUCAUCAUCACCACCACCAUCAUCAUCAUCAUCAUCAUCAUCAUCACACCAUCAUCAUCAUCACUUCAUCAUCACCAUACUCUUCAUCAUCAUCAUCUUCAUCAUCAUCAUCACAUCAUCUUCAUCAUCACAUCAUCAUCACCAUACUCUUCAUCAUCUUCAUCAUCAUCAUCACAUCAUCUUCAUCAUCACAUCAUCAUCAUCAUCUUCAUCACCUUCAUCACAUCAUUAUCACCAUACUCUUCAUCACCAUCAUCUUCAUCAUCAUCACCAUCAUCAUCAUAUCAUUAGCAUCAUUAUCAUCAUCUUCAUCAUCACAUCAUCACCAUCAUCAUCGUCAUCAUCAUCAUCAUCAUCACCAUUAUCGUCAUCAUCUUCAUCAUCACAUCAUCACCACCAUCAUCGUCAUCAUCAUCACCAUCAUCGUCAUACUCAUCAUCAGCAGCAGCAGCAGCAUCAUCAUCAUCUUCUUCAUCAUCACACCAUCUUCAUCACCAUCAUCUUCAUCAUCAUCAUCAUCAUCAUCACCAUCAUCUUCGUCAUCACAUCAUCAAAUCAUCUUCAUCAUCACCAUCAUCUUCAUCAUCAUCACAUCAUCUUCAUCUUCAUUAUCACAUCAUCAUCAUCUUCAUCUUCAUCAUCAUCAUCAUCACCAUCAUCUUCAUCAUCACAUCAUCAUCAUCUUCAUCAUCAUCAUCAUCACCAUCAUCUUCAUCAUCACAUCAUCAUCAUCAAAUCAUUAUCAUCUUCAUCAUCACCAUCAUCUUCAUCAUCAUCAUCAUCAUCAUCAUCAUCACCAUCAUCUUCAUCAUCACAUCAUCAUCAUCUUCAUCAUCACCUCAUCAUCACCAUCAUCUUUAUCAUCACCAUCGUCUUCGUCAUCAUCACCAUCAUCAUCAUCAUCACAUCAUCAUCAUCAUCAUCACCAUCACCAUCAUCUUCAUCAUCACAUCAUCAUCAUCUUCAUCAUUGCAUCAUCAUCAUCACAUCAUCAUCAUCUUCAUCAUCACAUCAUCAUCAUCACCAUCAUCACCAUCAUCAUCAUCACAUCAUCAUCAUCAUCUUCAUCAUCACCAUCAUCUUCAUCAUCAUCAUGACCAUCAUCUUCAUCACCAUCUACUUCAUCGCAUCAUCACCAUCAGCAGCAGGUAGAACUACAAUUCUAGAAUGA